CCUCCUCCUCCUCUUGCAAUUACUCAUUUUUGCGUGAGGGCUGACCCAAUAUAAGAUGUACUAACAUAUAAGCAAUAAUAUGCUGGAAACAUGCUAAGCAGCUACUCGGAUAGUCAGAUUAUAUCAUGACAUUUCAUUUUGAUCGAACUUCACAAGCCACAUUAAUUGCAGCAUAGCAUCACAAAACAUCAAAUCUAACGCAUGACACAACAGUAGACAAUUUCAAACAACG
rnacentral:lncRNA from 1 species